GUGCCGCCCCUUGCCCGGUAGCUAGUCCCCCUUCUUGCUCCCAAGGCAUCUUUGAGAAGCACGAGAUGGGGUAGCAAGUGCUGGGCAGCGAGGACCAAACCAAGAAGACAAAGUAUAAAAUUGUAUGAUACUCUUGUCCCAGUUAGAUACAAUCGGUGGCUAGUUGGGUGGUAGGUGGUGGUGAGCGACUCAAAAACGUUUGCAGCAGUGUCCUGUGGGCAGCUGCGCCUCGUGGAUCCGACUUGGGCUCCAAUUUCCCCCCAAGGAACCAUGUCGCCAGCAGUGACGCCUCAGUAUUAACCCUCCUGAGAAUUGACUUGAUAUCAAAUCUUUCAUGACCUGUUUGUUAUGAC